AUACUUACUGGCAGGAGAAAUACCAUAAUCACAAAGGUGGUUUUCCCAGGGCAAUGCCUAUUUAUUGUACCUCGGGUGUUAUGACACCUGUGAUUUCCUUAAAUGUGGGAAAUUCGAUUGCAUGAUUUGUGGUAGUGGGGAACCGCUAUCGAGCUUUUCCCUG
ensembl:snRNA U1 U1 spliceosomal RNA